CAUUAGGCGUCGAGAAUUCACGUGCAAUCCACGUGAUGUUGUUUAAUUAGCUAUUCUGCAACUUCAUCCCCUUUUUCUGUUGCCCGCAAGGUCGCAAUUUCACCCUUUUUUCUGGAAAAGAAAAACCACCUCAUUGAAUAGCUCUCACCCACCUCUCAUCUCCAAUCUCAGAUCUACUCUCCUCUCAUUGAAUUUGUAAGAUCUUUCACGUAGCUUCCUUGUUUGUCUUCUCAUGGGCUUGUAUUUCUCUCUCUCAUCUCUCCGAAAAAAUUAAAUUUCAUUCUCUAAAAUUGUCGAUCCUGUUCGGCGUGUCAAUGGUUUAUCAUCUUCUACCUUGUCGGCCUGGUAAAGUUCGUACAGUAAGUGCUUCAAGCUCUAGAUUGUGCACAAGUCUUGGGAAUGGUACACGAAAGGAUCAUCCAACGUGAUAAGGAGCGACAUGACAAUGAAGGCAAGGACACAUGAGCUUAUAAGCUACUACCACCAUUAGAUCCUAGUUUUUCUAGGCUUUAGUUCUUUGGUUUUGUGGUACAAUUUGUACUUUUGAUUAUUGAUUAUGUUUUGUAAUAUUUAGUUAGUAACAUUUAUGUACUAUGGAUUUUGGUUAGUAACAUUAUCAUGGAAUUUGGUUAGCAGCAUUAAUUAUCAUGUACUAUUGAUAUAUUAUAUAUGGU